rnacentral:rRNA from 1 species
AGCUCCUUAUGGAGCGAAGUCUUUGAUUCCCCGCUGCCAAGAAAAGCUUCUAGCGAGAUAAAAGGUGCCUGUACCGCAAACCGACACAGGUAGGCGAGGAGAGAAUCCUAAGGUGUGCGAGAGAACUCUGGUUAAGGAACUCGGCAAAAUGACCCCGUAACUUCGGGAGAAGGGGUGCUUUCUUAACGGAAAGCCGCAGUGAAUAGGCCCAAGCGACUGUUUAGCAAAAACACAGCUCUCUGCGAAGCCGUAAGGCGAAGUAUAGGGGGUGACACCUGCCCGGUGCUGGAAGGUUAAGGAGAGGGGUUAGCGUAAGCGAAGCUCUGAACUGAAGCCCCAGUAAACGGCGGCCGUAACUAUAACGGUCCUAAGGUAGCGAAAUUCCUUGUCGGGUAAGUUCCGACCCGCACGAAAGGUGUAACGAUUUGGGCACUGUCUCAACCAGAGACUCGGUGAAAUUAUAGUACCUGUGAAGAUGCAGGUUACCCGCGACAGGACGGAAAGACCCCGUGGAGCUUUACUGUAGCCUGAUAUUGAAUUUUGGUACAGUUUGUACAGGAUAGGCGGGAGCCAUUGAAACCGGAGCGCUAGCUUCGGUGGAGGCGCUGGUGGGAUACCGCCCUGACUGUAUUGAAAUUCUAACCUACGGGUCUUAUCGACCCGGGAGACAGUGUCAGGUGGGCAGUUUGACUGGGGCGGUCGCCUCCUAAAGUGUAACGGAGGCGCCCAAAGGUUCCCUCAGAAUGGUUGGAAAUCAUUCGUAGAGUGCAAAGGCAUAAGGGAGCUUGACUGCGAGACCUACAAGUCGAGCAGGGACGAAAGUCGGG